rnacentral:rRNA from 1 species
GACAGAGGGUGCAAACGUUGUUCGGAAUUACUGGGCGUAAAGAGUUCGUAGGCGGUUUGUCACGUCGUUUUGUGAAAACUCACAGCUCAACUGUGAGCCUGCAGGCGAUACGGGCAGACUUGAGUACUGCAGGGGAGACUGGAAUUCCUGGUGUAGCGGUGAAAUGCGCAGAUAUCAGGAGGAACACCGGUGGCGAAGGCGGGUCUCUGGGCAGUAACUGACGCUGGAGGAACGGAAAAGCGUGGGUAGCGAACAGG